UUAGAUACCCCACUAUGCUUAGCCCUAAACAUAAAUAUUCAACUAACAAGAAUAUUCGCCAGAGAACUACUAGCCACUGCUUAAAACUCAAAGGACUUGGCGGUGCUUUAUAUCCCUCUAGAGGAGCCUGUUCUGUAAUCGAUAAACCCCGUUAAACCUCACCACUCUUUGCAAUGUCAGCCUAUAUACCGCCAUCUUCAGCAAACCCUAACAAGGCAUUAUAGUAAGCAUGAUAAUUCUACAUAAAAACGUUAGGUCAAGGUGUAGCCUAUAGAGUGGGAAGAAAUGGGCUACAUUUUCUAUUUUUCCUAGAACACUUCACGACAGCAGUUAUGAAAUAUGACUAGCCCAAGGCGGAUUUAGUAGUAAGUUGGGAAUAGAGUGCCCAACUGAAUUGGGUAAUAAAGCACGC
rnacentral:rRNA from 1 species